rnacentral:rRNA from 2 species
GACUCUCGGCAACGGAUAUCUAGGCCCUCGCAUCGAUGAAGAACGUAGCGAAAUGCGAUACUUGGUGUGAAUUGCAGAAUCCCGUGAACCAUCGAGUCUUUGAACGCAAGUUGCGCCCGAAACCGUAAGGUCGAGGGCACGUCUGCUUGGG